rnacentral:lncRNA from 1 species
CGCGGGACAAGAAAAUUCAUGCGAGGGAGACGUGGUGGGCGGUCCUUCCUGUGACACGACCCUUGAGUGACAGUUCUAUUUGAUUGCCUCCGGUACUGUGAGGAAAGGACACGACUCUAUGGUGAGGACUGAUGGACAUACAUUAUCUGAGAAAAGAAACUACCAGAUGCUGGCAUCACCAUCUACAUCAGGUCAGCUGUCUCAGUUUGGGGCAAGUUUAUACGGGCAACAAAGUGCACUAGGCCUUCCAAUGAGGGGGAUGAGCAACAAUACCCCUCAGUUAAAUCGCAGCUUAUCACAAGGCACUCAGUUACCGAGCCACGUCACGCCAACAACAGGGGUACCAACAAUGUCACUUCACACGCCUCCAUCUCCAAGCAGGGGUAUUUUGCCUAUGAAUCCUAGGAAUAUGAUGAACCACUCCCAGGUUGGUCAGGGCAUUGGAAUUCCUAGCAGGACAAAUAGCAUGAGCAGUUCAGGGUUAGGUAGCCCCAACAGAAGCUCGCCAAGCAUAAUAUGUAUGCCAAAGCAGCAGCCUUCUCGACAGCCUUUUACUGUGAACAGGUAAGAUGUUUAUUGAUACUGUGUAUAAUUGUCUUUCUGGGUAUACUCAGAUUUGCCUUUUCAUAUUUUCACUUUGUUCUUGAGGUGUG